rnacentral:lncRNA from 1 species
GGAAUUUGAUGUCCUAGGGCAGGAGAAGAAAAGGGGUACUGCUCUGGAAAAGAGAGAGAAAGAGAGAAAAAAAAGGAAGCAAGAAAAAGAAAAAAAGAAAAGCAAGCAAGCUGAAUGUCUUCCUUCUUCCACCUCCUUUGUUGGCAAGCUGAGGGAGCCGGCUCCAGCCUUGACCAGCCCAGAAAAGGGCUCCCACAGUGCAGCGGCGGGCUGAAGGGCUCCUCAGGCGCCGCCAGAAUGGGCGCCGAGGCUGAGGCACCGAGAGCGAGCGUGGGCUGCGAGGGCUGCCAGUAUGCUGUCACCUCUCAGUAUGAUAGAAAAAAGCUGCUGUACUGCCACUGCCCAAUAUAUAAUAUUUCAGGAAACAUUGCUUUAUGAAGGGCUCCAUAACAGUUAAUGAAGGUUUACACCAACUGAAAAACAUGAAGAAGAAAAGGAAGGAAGAAAGAGAUGGUAGAAAGAAAGGAAAGAUGAAUGGAAAAGAAAAACUACUACUUGUGGAAUGCUCAGUGUAUGCUAGAUGUCUUCAUUGGUAGCAUUGCAUUUAUGGGACAACAGGCAAGGGCAGGAGAGAACUUUGGAGGAGGCUGGUUUGAUGACACCACAGCUGGAGGCAACUGCUUAAGAAAAGGCCUGAGCUGCCUCCCAGAGUAUAUCACAUCUCUGAGGACUCCCAACCUGAAAACAAGAAAGCAAGCACAAAUUCCUGGGGAUCCAUCCUCAGAGCAAUGUUAAACUGAAGAGAUUAUUGUGAGCAUCCUGUGUCUUGGGGGAACUCUUUCAAUAUUUCACCAUUAAAUAAAAUAUUUACUGAAAAGCUUUAAU